UACCUUACAAUCUGAGGCAGAUGUUUUGAAAGGUUCAAAGUGUUUGAAGUCCCAUCCCCCUGCAGCCAAACUGAAUGUCAUUCAUUCAACAGUCCCAUUACUCUUGUGAGGCUCUGUGCAGCUGAGCCAGAUGGAAGACAAAAUUUUUGUGUAUGAAGUGGUUUUCCAGGUAGCCCUGUGUAGAAUAGGUGAAGGGCAAAGCUGA